UUCAGAGGAACCUGUCCUAUAAUUGAUGACCCACGAUUUAAUUUACUUACUUUAUUAGUUUAUAUAUCGCCGUAGGUUGAAUAUUUUAGUAGAAUAAUAAUAUUCAAGAUUUUUUAAGAAGAAGUAAAUCAGGUCAAGAUGUAGUUUAUAGGUGAGAAGAGAUGGGUUACAAUAAAUUUAUUUUAAAGGAUUGUCUAUUUAGUAAUAUUCAUGAAAGUGGAUUUGAUAGUAAUUUUAAUUAAAUUAUUAAUAUGAUUUUGGCUCUAAAAUAUGCACAUAUCGCCCGUCAUUUUCACUAUAAAGUGAAACAAGUCGUAACAUAGUAGGUGUACUGGAAAGUGUACCUAGAAAGUCAAAUUAGAGCUUGUUAUAAAGCAUUUUAUUUACAUUAAAAAGUUUAUUGUGAAAAUCAAUAUAAUUUGAAUUUUAUUAUUUAUUUAAAUUUAGAGGGUUAAUUUAUUUAAAUAAAGUAAUUUUUAGUUUUAUUAAAAAUUUGAAAAAAUUUUUUUAAUUAUAGUAUAAUAGUAUUGUGAAAGAAAAUAUUUAAAUAUUUUUAAGAAUAAUUUAGUUUUAGUACCUUGUGUAUCAGGGUUUAUUAAAUAAGAAUUAAUUAUUUAAUUUUCUCGAAUUUAAAAGAGCUAUAAAAGUAUAUUUUUUAAUGUAUCAUAAUUAUUAAUAAUAUUUUUAUAGUAAUGAAACGUUAUUCGUUUUUAGAUAUAUCUAGUUUUUUAAGAAAUAAAUUUAAUUUAAUUAAUAUGAAUAUUUUGUUAAAUUUUUAAUUAAAUAUUAGUAUUAUUAAAUAUUUUAGGGGAUGAGCUUUAAAAUAUAGUUUUAUAAGUAAUUAUAAUUUUUGAAUAAAUAGGAUUAUAAAUUUUCAUUUUUAAUAGUAUGUUAUAAUUAUUUCAAUAUUAAUUAUAAUUUAUAUUUACUUUAAUUUUUUUAUUGAAAUAUUAAUUUUAAUUUUUUCAGUUAAGUAAUAAUGAUAAAAUUAGUAUAAUUUCUUGUAUAAUUUAUUAAUUAUGAGGUUUAAUAAAGGAAUUCGGCAAAAACAUGGCCUUUUGACUAUAAUUUAAGGUCUAACCUGCCCAAUGAAAAUUUUAAUGGCCGCGGUAUUUUGACCGUGCAAAGGUAGCAUAAUCAUUUGUUUUUUAAUUGAAAGCUGGAAUGAAAGGUUGAAUGAGAAAAUAACUGUCUCUAUUAAAUUUUAUUAGAACUUUAUUUUUAAGUUAAAAAGCUUAAAUAUAAUUUGAAGACGAGAAGACCCUAUAGAGUUUAAUAAUUAAAAAUUUAGUUAAUUUAGAAUUAAUUUUCUUUAAAUAAAAUAAUUAUUUAAUUGGGGUGAUUAAAAAAUUAAAUUAACUUUUUUUGUAUAAUAUCAUUGAUUAAUGAAUGGUUGAUCCUUUAAAAGAUUAAAGAUUAAAUUACCUUAGGGAUAACAGCGUAAUUUUUUUUUAGAGUUCUAAUCGAAAGAAAAGAUUGCGACCUCGAUGUUGGAUUAAAAUUAAUUUUUGGUGUAGAAGCUAGAAAAUUGGGUCUGUUCGACCCUUAAAAUUUUACUUGAUCUGAGUUCAAACCGGUGUGAGCCAGGUUGGUUUCUAUCUCGAAUUAAUGGAAAUAUUUUAGUACGAAAGGAUCAAAUAUUUAAUUAAUAAUUUAAUUUAUGAAUAAUAUUAAUAUGUUAUUUUGGCAGAAUAGUGCAAUAGAUUUAGAAUCUUUAUAUGUAAUUUUUACAAAUAAUACUUGAUAUUACAAGAUUUAAUUUUAAUAUUAAUUUCUAGCUUAAUUUUAGCUUUAUGUAUUAUAAUUGGGGUGGCUUUUUUAACUUUAUUGGAGCGUAAAGUUUUAGGAUAUAUUCAAAUUC
rnacentral:rRNA from 1 species